rnacentral:siRNA from 1 species
AGGCUUCCUUUAUCUAACAACAGA